rnacentral:rRNA from 1 species
UCGGGAAUUUUGGGCAAUGGGGGAAACCCUGACCCAGCAACGCCGCGUGAAGGAUGAAGUAUUUCGGUAUGUAAACUUCGAAAGAAUAGGAAGAAUAAAUGACGGUACUAUUUAUAAGGUCCGGCUAACUACGUGCCAGCAGCCGCGGUAAUACGUAGGGACCAAGCGUUGUUCGGAUUUACUGGGCGUAAAGGGUGUCGAGGCGGUUGUAUUAGUCGUUCGUAAAAUCUACGAGCUUAACUUGUAGGCGGCGAACGAAACGGUACGACUUGAGGUUUGGAGAGGUGCGUGGAACUCACGGUGUAGGGGUGAAAUCCGUUGAUAUCGUGGGGAACACCAAAGGCGAAGGCAGCGCACUGGCCAAAAUCUGACGCUCACACACGAAAGCUAGGGUAGCGAAGAGGAUUAGAUACCCGCGUAGUCCCUGAGCGGGCUGGCAAGGCGCAU